AAGUUUUUUUUGCUUACUGUUCACAAACUCUACCAGUCAUCGUUUUUAAAGAUCAAAAAUUGAGAACCAUUAUUCGAUUAUUUUAAACAGAAACUGCGUAGAUCCGAAAAUGAAAACCGUAUCUUCAACAGCAUACUGCUUGCGUCUGGCGCGUGUCAUUUUGCUGUGGUUCUCCCUGGCGAACGUUGCAGUUGACGGAUCAUAUGCAUGUGUCAGUGACUCGGACUGUACUUUCAAUGGUCCUGACACCGAGUGUUGCGAUAACGGCUACUGCGGCGAGCCCGGUACCUGUUGGGAAGACGCUCUCCUCGGCUGGAUUCUGAUAAUCUCGUUUUCAAGCUGCUGCUGCUGUUCUGUAGUAGCUGGUAUCAUUGGUUGUAUCAUAUAUAAUAAAAACAAAAGU